GUCCACACCAGUUGUGGACAAUUAGGAAAUUGGAACCAUACAGAGAAGAUUGGCAUGGCUCCCUGUGUAAGGAUGACAUCACUAUCUUGAAAGGAUUACCCGCAGGUCGGGACACAUUUUU
rnacentral:snRNA from 1 species